GAGAUACUCCCUCCGUCCUAAAAAGCUUGUGCCAAGCUUGUUCCUCAAAUGGAUGUAUCUAGCACUAACUUCAUGCUAGAUAUAUUCAUUUGAGGGACAUGUUUUUUCGGAUGGAGGGAGUACGCA
rfam:Triticum aestivum genome assembly, contig: Triticum_aestivum_CS42_TGACv1_scaffold_112171_2AS